rnacentral:rRNA from 1 species
GAUGAACGCUGGCGGCGUGCCUAAUACAUGCAAGUCGAGCGAACAGACGAGGAGCUUGCUCCUCUGACGUUAGCGGCGGACGGGUGAGUAACACGUGGAUAACCUACCUAUAAGACUGGAAUAACUUCGGGAAACCGGAGCUAAUACCGGAUAAUAUAUUGAACCGCAUGGUUCAAUAGUGAAAGACGGUUUUGCUGUCACUUAUAGAUGGAUCCGCGCCGCAUUAGCUAGUUGGUAAGGUAACGGCUUACCAAGGCAACGAUGCGUAGCCGACCUGAGAGGGUGAUCGGCCACACUGGAACUGAGACACGGUCCAGACUCCUAAGGGAGGCAGCAGUAGGGAAUCUUCCGCAAUGGGCGAAAGCCUGACGGAGCAACGCCGCGUGAGUGAUGAAGGUCUUCGGAUCGUAAAACUCUGUUAUUAGGGAAGAACAAAUGUGUAAGUAACUAUGCACGUCUUGACGGUACCUAAUCAGAAAGCCACGGCUAACUACGUG